ACUCCAAUCUUCUGUGUUGGUGUUUUGGAUUCUCUGGCAGUGGAAUUGAAGGCGACAAAGGAUUUCUCCAAGUUAUAUGCUGGCAUUUGCAAUACUUGGGUAUAUUGCUUUCGUUCCAGAAUCCGUCAACACCCGAGCCUUUUCUCAUCUUCUCACUUUUCUGGGCCAUAGAUAUCCCAAGAUCCGGAAGGCUUCUGCUGAACAAGUUUACUUUGUCCUCCUACAAAAUGGAGAGCUUGUGAUAGAGGAUAAGAUGGAGAAAGCGCUUGAAUUAUUUCCAAAACUUGCUGGGAAGGUGAUAUAGAAGAAGCAAAACAGCGACGAUUAGAGUUGCAUGAUAUGGCUGGUCUAGAAACAGGGCUACUUCCCAAAAUUGGGAAUGGAGCAUCAAACAGGGAUGGUGAGAAGAGGCCAACAGCCAGUGAUGAGAAUGCAUCAUACUCUUCCUUAGUUGGGUCAACUUGGUUCUGAUUGACUUGAAUUAAACCAUCCUUCAUGUUUGUUGUACAUUUUCAUCACUUCUCUUCACCUUAGACAUCUACCUCUCUAGCUUUUCCUGCAUGUCGCACAAUUUGCGUGACAUAAGUCUUGUUUGGAUAGACUUAUUGGAAGCGCAAGGCAUUUUUUUU